CUCAACUCACUCGGCUUUGCGGGAGGCUCAAAGCCUCAGGUUAGGGCAGAGGUGCGGGCUUCCUCUGCUCUCUCUCUCCCAAGACACUGGUUUCUGUUUGGGAGCAGAUCCCUUCUUGGAUCCACGCUGCUUCUGCGAUUCUGAACAAACCAUCAAUCUCCUGAGUCUCAGUUCUCCCUUCUGUAUAAUGGCCUUUAAAGCCUGGUGGAGUGUUGGGGGCACAGGAGAUAAUACUGGGGAAAAUCACGCUCUCUCUUAAGUAGAAACCGAAUUUCACUUUUAGUUUACAAUGCUCAGAAUAAUCUGGGCCAAAUGUGCGAAGCCAAGUAAGAGCUGAGUGGCUACUCACACACAGAAUAUAUGUUUAUACACAUACACAUAAUGUUUUUAGCAUACCAGGACUGCUUAGACGUCUUUAAAGAGAACACUAGCCCAGGUCCUUCUCCAGGGAGGCGACUGUCUCCAGCAGGACUUUUUCUCCCCUCUACUGAGGCCACCUACCUGUCUUAAGCCCCCAGACCCCAUCCGUUCUGGGGUUCCCCUGCAAUCCAGAGCCAGGCUGAGGUGGUAUGCGGGAAGAUCUCCCUUUGGAAAAUGUUUCUGGAUAAUUUCCCAACUCCUUGACCAUGUUCUCCCCACCUCACCCACAUUCAGAUAACACAGGUUCUAAGGCUCCUUCACUCCUCCACCCCCGGGGGGGAUACUCCUUGGGCCUGGCCCUGUGGAGGAGCUGGGAGGUGGGAUCCAGAACCAAUUGCAAUUCUGGACGCACACUCAACCGCCUCCUCACUCCCUUUUAACCUUUCCCUCUCGUCAGAAGCCAAAUUGAGAUAGUCUUGAGUUUUGAUUUAAUUCCCGAAAUGGAGUCAUAAUCUGCUUAGUGUCCUUUUUCCCGAGUCCUAGAUACUGAAGUGUGUGUGUCUGUCAGGGGGAGUUAAAAGAGCAGCUCUGUGACCUUUGGAGGACCCUCACACUCACUCAUCUCCCAAACACCACCAAAGAGCAGGAGACGCCAUGGCCCUGAGUUGCUGGGUAGUAUGAUGAUGGUACUGACAACUCACAUUUACUAGGCACUUACCACAUGCCAGUACUGAGACAGGCACUAUACACGCAUUUCUCACUUAAUUCUCACAACUACCUUUCAGGUAGGUACCAUUCAUAUCCCCAAUUUACAGAUGAAGAAACUGAGGCUUAGCGAGGUUAAGCAGUUUAUGUUCCAUCCUGCAGUGAUUACAGACGGUCCUUGACUUAUGAUGCUUUGACUUACAAUUUCUCAGCUUUAUGAUGAUGUGGAAGUGAUAUGCAUUCAUUAGAUACUGUACUUCUAAUACUCAUACAACCACUCUGUUUUUCACUUUCAGUACAGUAUAUUAUAACAUGUUGAAUCUCAUGUUGAAUACAUGAGAUGAAUAAAUAUCUCAUGUUGAAUACAUGAGAUAUUCAACACUUUAUUAUAAAAUAGGCUUUGUGCUAGAUGAUCUUGCCCAACUGUAGGCUGAUGAAAGUGUCCUGAACACUUUAAGGUAAGCGAGGCUGAACUAUGAUGUUUGGUGGGUUAGGUGUAUGAAAUGCAUAUCCACCUUACAAUAUUUUCAACUUACUACAGCUUUAUCGGGACACAGCCUCAUCGUAAGUCAAGGAGAGUCUAUUAUUAAGUGGCAGAGCCCAAAUUUGAAACUACACAGUCAGACUGCAGAGCCUGUGCUCUUAACCACUUAGUUGUGUGACACCUGGCAGGGUAUUUAACUUCUACAUGCCCUGUUCCCUCAUUUGCAAAACACAGAUAAGUAGGGAUGAUAAGAUAUUCCCUUCAAAGAAUUAUGUUGUGUAAUUGAGCUAAGGCAUUCACCAUACUCGCAGUAAGCAUUCAGUAGUUUAGGUGCCCUACACACUGGAGCAAGGUUGAGGAAGGGAAAGGGUACAAUCCAAUGGGCUAUUAAUUAUUCAUUGUUACUGUUGAUAAUAAUAGUUAUCAUGCAUUGAGAUCCAACUGAGCAUUGGCCACCCUACAAGGUAAAAAUUAUGUCUGUUUUACAGAUGAAGAAACUGAGUUUCACAUAGAUUAGGUAAAUUACCUAAAGCCAUCCAGUUAAUAAGUGACAGAACAGAGCUCUUGUUCAAACACUGGGCCCUUGACUCCAAAGCCUGCAGUUCCCAGCACCCCCAGGGUCACCAAAACCUGGCCUCUCCUGGGGGAGGUCAGGGCUGAGGCCAACAAGCCCAAGUCACACCCUUUACCACCUGGGACAUGAUUUUCUCCAGGUGAGCAAUGUUUUCUUAAAAGAACAGGAGGACAGUAAAUAAUUAACUAAGACAGUUUCUCCCUCCCUGAAGCCAAGGUAGAACCUCCCCCCUACAGCCAACCCCCACUCUCCUCACUCCUGUUUCCUCUGGGCUCAAGUUUGUGGCCAUUAAAUAGAAGAGGAGAAAGUUUGAACCAGGCAUGAAAUAUUUAUCAGAACCUGAAGAACAUCUCUCUUUCUUCACAAGAAGCUUGUAACACAAUAACUACCACUUAUCGAGCCCCUGCUGAAUGCUUGGAUCUAUGCAAAUAAAAUUUAAUCUGAUCUACAGAACAACUCUAUAAGGUCAGUGGGUAUGUCUAUUUUAUGGAUGGCUCAGAGAGGUUAAGUAAUUUGCCCAAGUUUGUACAACUAGCAAGUGUCAGAUCAGGGACUUGAAUCACAAACCCAUGCUUUUAACCCCUGUGGUACACUGCCUCUCACUUUCUCAAGGUCAGAAGGGAAGGGCUUCAGGUCCACCAUAUGAAGUGCCUACGGAAUGUCUUGGGGAAGGAAAGACGAGAGAAGCAAGGAGAAGUAUAGAGAAGCAGACAAGGGCUACACAUGCAUAGGGCAUGGAGGGCAGAAUGGUGGCUGGGAAAGACUGAAGAGGGUUUGUGGGGUUAAGAGGAGUUACCUGAAGGAGGGUGUGGUAAGCCAACAAGUGCAUGGGAAGGGGGCAGUCGCUAUGGAGAUAGCUGGGGAGUGGGGGAACGGGGUCCAGGAGUGGGCGCCGGCAGUUGGAACAUCCAGAACAGUGAGCAGUGCCCAUCGUGGACUGGGUGGUUGGGGAGUGGGAGGGACCUCGUGUCAGAGGAGGGGUCUUUGUGAGCGUGCAGCAGUGAGGAAUGCUCCGCCAUGAAUACUAAGGGCAAGAAGAGAAAGGGCCAGAGGGGGCUGGGUGAUGUUUAGCUGCUGGGGUGAUUAAUGGGGGUGAACGGAGGGUGAAACUCAAGCCCUUCCAACGAAGAUGGUGGGGAAUGGUUGUCCAAGAACAACAGUGCACUGUUUCAUGGAGAAAGCCAAUGUCCAGGGGAGGGGUGGCUGAGAAAGAUGCUAGGCACAGUUGCUCCUUCCCUUUUUUCCCAAGUUCUCUUGAUUUACCACCAAACAGUAAAUUAAACUAUAUUAGCCAGUUCCAGGGGACCCUCUGGAUGGGCUUCCUACCUGCCUCCUGGCUUUGGAGAGACCAAGGAAUGUUGGCAUGGCUUGGAGAAAGAGUGAGUGAGGUCUGGGCUGAAAGCUGAGAUGACUCCAUGGACCACCCCCAUCGUGGGGCACAAAAUGGUAAUGUGUUGGCAAGAGCCACUGGCUCCCUCUGGACCAGACAGGCACUGAGAGAUACAUGGGGGUUGGGACUUCAGGUGUCCUGUAGAAAGUGGUAGUGUUCUUAGAGCAGUUUUUAGAGAAGCCCCUUGGCCUCAGGGAGGGACACAGGGCUCCUUUUCUGUGAGAGAGAGAGAGUUGGGGGAACAAGGAGAGAGGGCUUCCCAUGGCUCUGGUUUUAGGGUGUUGACCUGGGUUUGAAGAAUGGAGAUAAACCUUGUGGGAAAUAACAGGUUUAAGCCACUCUCCCCUCAUUUCCUACUGCUGUCUCUUCCUCUAGGUACAGCUGUUGGGAGCUGCAUCUCCUACCCUCAGUCUCCCUGUCUGUGGUUCCAGAGGGAAGAAGAGGGGAAAAAAAGGAUGAAGAGAAUUGUUUCAGUGCUGGGGGAGGUGAGUUUACAGCAGGGAUUUAGAUGGGCAUUACCUCAUGGGAUAGGAGCAAUUUUCUCCCUCUCCAGGCCUCUCACAGAUGUGAAACAACCGGCAGAUCUGACUUUCCCACCCCUAACCAUCAGAGGGGAUGAUAUGACUUGAAACCUGUGCUUCUCGAUUGAGAGGCUGGUGGGGGAAAGAGAGAUCAGGAAAAGGGUCCAGAUGUGUGUUCAGGGGUCCCCAGAGAGUUGAGGGAAACUAGCAUCUCCUUAGGGUAAGGAAGACAAAAUGACCAUUCCUGAUCCCAGAUUGCUUAGAUACUGUGCCUGGGAGUCCUCCCACCUCACCUUAAUUCCUGUCUCCACACACAGCUUGGCCAAGUUUCUUCCCCUGUUGGAGUCUCACUCCCAAUCCGCUACUCUAUCUCUCCAGGAGCCUACAAAGCACUUUGAAAUCCGAAGUUUGUGGGAAGUGGCUGUAUUGCACAAAUACUCUGAGGUGCAACAUUACUUGACUGGAGAUAAAUGGGUCCACUGGAGAGCAACGGUCACAAUCAAGUCUUAAUGAUGAAUUAAUAAUUCAUAAUUACCCCAGACUUGCAGAUAAGCACAAGCCUACUGGAAUUAUUUCCCAGGGAGGAACACAGUCAGAAAGGGUAAGAAGGGGACUUCAGUACAGACAUUACUUCCAGAGGCCGUUAAGUUCAUUCCUCUGCUUCCCAACCAGAACCCGGAAGAGAUUCAUUAGCUUCCUUGGCUGAUUCCUCCUAACAGCUACCACCCCCUGAGCUUCUAAACAGUGCCAUAUUGCCCCUCUGUUCUUCAUAAGGCCAGAGGACCAUUCCUACCAAAGUGACCUCAGAGCCUGGACUCUGGAUUUCUGGCGUCUCUCUGUUCUCUGCUCCCCAUUCUGCUAUUUACAUACGAGGUCCCCUGUAGGAGGGCCUGGUGCUAGGUGUCCCGGCGAGAUGUGGACAUCUUUCUGGCUCUUCUCCUUCUCUUAUCUAAGUCCUCACAUGGUGGGAAAAUACCUCUCUAACGCUAUGUAGAAAGAGAAGCAGGGAGUGCCCCUUCUAGCGUGGAUGCCUUUGGUUCCCAGAUCUGGAUUUGAGGGGCUGGCUCUAUCUCUUAAGACAUUUACCUAGUAUUGAUAAUGGAGAUGGGGCCUAAAUAGGGCUAGGGAGGCACACCCAACUCCCGACCCAGCUCUCUGCUGUUCCCCUUCCCAGUGCACACAAUCCCAAUUCCCACUCCAGAAAUUUUUUUAAAAACAUAUCUUAAAAGAAACCUCGAAGAGCCAAGCAGACCCUCAGCUUCAAGGUAUCUCCUCAUUCUCUCUCUCUCUCGUUCGCUCUCUCUCUCUCUCUCUCUCUCUGUCUCUCUGAAUCUACAAAGAAGGAGUGAGUUUUGUCUCUCCAAGUACUCAGAGCCUUAGAUCACAAAGGGGCCUUAGAUCCUGGUCUUUAGGAGAUCUUUGACCACCACCUCUGCUGUGGCACGACCUUUGUCAAAAUGCUAGAAAGAAGAGAGACUGGCUCUUAGACCAAGGGAAUUUGGGAUUUGAAAGGUCUUCCAAUUACAAUUCUAUAGAUUUCCUUCCCAUUAGCCUUUUCAUGUGCAUCAAAUGUAAAUGGCAGGCUAAACCUACAGGAUGAAGAGAGUUGAAAGACUGCUGUCUAAAAAUGCCCUUUUCCAAAUCUGUGGGUGCAGAAGCAUAUUGAAAAGCAGCUACCCAGCCUGGCGGUGUGGCACAUGCCUGCAGUCUCACAUA
rnacentral:lncRNA from 1 species